UAAAGGCGGCGUGGAAAAAGUUCACUCGGGCAAGAAGCUCAGAAAAGGACAGAAAGUGGGACGGCGUGGAAAGACAGCACAAGCCGAUGUUAAACUCUUUCUCCCACCGUCUGGCCCUCUCCACCUCUCUCAUACACUCUGUCCCUCCCCCCCACCUUGUUGCUCCUCCUACUUUGUCCCUUCUCCAUUACCACCCUCUUGCCCUCUCCUCCCCUCCUCCCUCCCAUUCACUGAACAGGAGGUGCUUUCACUGCAUGGGACACUAGAGAGAAUGUAGCCAGGGAAUGUGCAGAGGACACGACAGGAGACAUUGAACGUGACUUCUAGGCUGUCAUCACCGGGGGAAACACUUGCCCUUUAACCCAAUGCAGGAGUCUUUCAUUUGAAGGGAGGCACAGCUAUCCUGUUUUGGGCCUUCAACACACAUAAUCCUGAAUCCCACCGGCUCCAUCAGCCCACACCUUCUACCACUUUCCCCUGCUGCUGUUCCCUCUCCUUCAGACUGUCCCCUACAGGGCCUCCUGGAG